rnacentral:rRNA from 1 species
UGGGGAAUUUUGGACAAUGGGGGAAACCCUGAUCCAGCCAUCCCGCGUGUGCGAUGAAGGCCUUCGGGUUGUAAAGCACUUUUGGCAGGAAAGAAACGUCGCGGGUUAAUACCCCGCGAAACUGACGGUACCUGCAGAAUAAGCACCGGCUAACUACGUGCCAGCAGCCGCGGUAAUACGUAGGGUGCAAGCGUUAAUCGGGAAUUACUGGGCGUAAAGCGUGCGCAGGCGGUUCGGAAAGAAAGAUGUGAAAUCCCAGAGCUUAACUUUGGGAACUGCAUUUUUUAACUACCGGGCCAGAUGUGUCAGAGGGAGGUGGAAUUCCGCGUGUAGCAGUAAAAUGCGUAGAUAUGCGGAGGAACACCGAUGGCGAAGGCAGCCUCCUGGGAUAACACUGACGCUCAUGCACGAAAGCGUGGGGAGCAAACAGGAUUAGAUACCCUGGUAGUCCGCGCCCUAAACGAUGUCAACUAGCUGUUGGGGGCCUUCGGGCCUUGGUAGCGCAGCUAACGCGUGAAGUUGACCGCCUGGGGAGUAC